rnacentral:rRNA from 1 species
GAUGAACGCUGGCGGCGGGCCUAACACAUGCAAGUCGAGCGAUCAGACGAGGAGGUUGGCCCCUUUACGGUAGCGGCGGACGGGGGUGUGACAUGUGGGGAAACCAGCUAUAAGACUGGGAUAAACUCGUGAAACCGGUAGCAAAUACGGCAUAUAGUCUCAAGCGCAUGGUGGAAGAGUGUAGGACGGCUUUCCAUCCGAUGAUCGAUGGAGCCGUGCGGCAUUAGCUAGUUGGUAAGGUAACGGCUUACCAAGGCAGCGAUGCGUAGCCGACCUGAGAGGGUGAUCGGCCACACUGGAACUGAGACACGGUCCAGACUCCUACGGGAGGCAGCAGUAGGGAAUCUUGCACAAUGGGCGCAAGCCUGACGGAGCAACGCCGCGUGUGUGAUGAAGGCCUUCGGGUCGUAAAGCUCUGUUAUUGGGGAAGAACAAAUGUGUAAUUAACUCUGCACUUAUUGACGUUACCUGCACAGGAAGCCCCGGCUAACUCCGUG